UCCUUCAUUCCACCGGAGUCUGUGGUUUUAAAGACAGAUUUCGGGGCAUGAAGCGCG
rnacentral:pre_miRNA from 1 species